rnacentral:rRNA from 1 species
UACGUAGGGGGCUAGCGUUGUCCGGAUUUAUUGGGCGUAAAGAGCGUGUAGGCGGCCAGGUAGGUCUGGUGUGAAAACUCGAGGCUUAACCUCGAGAUGUCAUCGGAAACCAUCUGGCUAGAGUCCGGAAGAGGAGAGUGGAAUUCCUGGUGUAGCGGUGAAAUGCGCAGAUAUCAGGAGGAACACCGUGGCGAAGGCGGCUCUCUGGGACGGUACUGACGCUGAGACGCGAAAGCGUGGGGAGCGAACAGG